AUUGAACGCUGGCGGCAUGCCUUACACAUGCAAGUCGAACGGUAACGGGCCUUCGGGUGCCGACGAGUGGCGAACGGGUGCGUAAUACAUCGGAACGUGCCCGAUCGUGGGGGAUAACGAGGCGAAAGCUUUGCUAAUACCGCAUACGAUCUACGGAUGAAAGCGGGGGACCGCAAGGCCUUGCGCGGACGGAGCGGCCGAUGGCAGAUUAGGUAGUUGGUGGGAUAAAAGCUUACCAAGCCGACGAUCUGUAGCUGGUCUGAGAGGAUGAUCAGCCACACUGGGACUGAGACACGGCCCAGACUCCUACGGGAGGCAGCAGUGGGGAAUUUUGGACAAUGGGCGCAAGCCUGAUCCAGCCAUGCCGCGUGCAGGAUGAGGGCCUUCGGGUUGUAAACUGCUUUUGUGCGGAACGAAAAGCCUUCUUUUAAUACAGGAGGGUCAUGACGGUACCGUAAGAAUAAGCACCGGCUAACUACGUG
rnacentral:rRNA from 1 species